UUGGUAGGAUUGCUCAGACAAACAGAUGCAGAAUAUCUUCAGCCGCUACGCAACCUCCUUGACUCAAUAAAACAUUCUCAAAAGCCAGGGUGGCGGGUAAACAACCCAAUUGGUUGGGGAACGACAUUUGGCAUGAGCUCCAGGCGUAUUUGGACACUGAGUCGGACAAGAAUAAGGCUAAUUGGUUGGCCAACCUUACAUUAGCAAGCAUCGUCUGUAGGUCUUCCUCAGUCGGCAUGCAUAAAAGGAAACUCGCUUGACUCGGUCGUUCGCCUAACUGGAUGAAGGUAUUCACCGACUGCUGAAAAAGAAGGCAGAUGGCACCUGGAGCGGGAAACGGGCUGAGGAAGUUGUGGAAACUUAUCAAAAGCUGCUCGAAGUGCCUGUCUCUUAGCCCACGCCGGGAAGUAGGCCUCAUCAGAUGGUACUGUCUCAGUUGUUCAAGACAACCAGUUGUGGGCAGAGGCUUCCGACGGGAGAAAGCGGGGCCGAGUCUUCGACAUAGGGUCUGAUGCUAGAGAAGCCCGACCAUCUUUGUCUACUGUUGCUCCUUUGCCGACCGAACCAAGUUUGAUAAAAUAAUAUCGAUUUUGAAUGCAUUGUGCAUCAAGAUGGGGAUGCUAUAGAUAUUCCCAGAGGUGCAAUCAACCACUGAUGCCCCAAUUGAGGGAGCAGCACAGCCGGCAACUGAGAAUGCUGCUGACCUUGAGCUUUCAUACGAGCAAGAAGCAUUAGAUUAGAAUGUUGCUGACCUUGAGCUUUCAAACGACAAUAUUUACUUU